rfam:Triticum aestivum genome assembly, contig: Triticum_aestivum_CS42_TGACv1_scaffold_624006_7DS
UUUAUACCUCCUCCGUACGGAUAUACUUGUCGGGAAAAUGGAAAAAAUAUAUGUAUUUAGAAUUAAAAUACGUCUAGAUACAUCCAUUUUCGCGACAUGUAUUUCAGGACGGAGGGAGUACACG